rnacentral:rRNA from 1 species
UACGUAGGGCGCAAGCGUUGUCCGGAAUUAUUGGGCGUAAAGAGCUCGUAGGCGGCUUGUCACGUCGAUUGUGAAAGCCCGAGGCUUAACCUCGGGUCUGCAGUCGAUACGGGCUAGCUAGAGUGUGGUAGGGGAGAUCGGAAUUCCUGGUGUAGCGGUGAAAUGCGCAGAUAUCAGGAGGAACACCGGUGGCGAAAGCGAUGCACUGGACCUCUUCUGACGCUGAGUGCGCGAAAGCCAGGGGAGCGAACGGG